GGUCUUGACUGCUUCCUUGCAGGUAUGUUGAUGGCUUUUAAAAUGUAGUAUGACUAGUAAUUUUUAGUUAUAGUAUAUAUAAUAUGCUACUACAUGAUGGCACCAUUUUGGCUUUGUGUUUAUUCUCAUCUGAUCGUGGAUUUGCAUAUGAACAUGCGUUUAUGCAUUUCAGAGACAUUAAAAUGUUAAUUUACGUUCAUCUUAAAAUUGAUGCUUGAGGAGAAUUUGUUCUAAUUUUUUACUUUAAACUUCAGUAAAGAUUCCACCCAUUUUUAUUUGGGUUAUAUGCCCAUUGCCUGGUCCAUUCUGGUCAAAUAGGCUUCUGUUAUGAACUCUCUGCAUUUUUAUUAUGGCUUCGUUUGGAAUAAAUCAU
rnacentral:misc_RNA from 1 species